rnacentral:rRNA from 1 species
UGAGUUUGGUGAUGGCUCUGAUUGAACGCUGUCCAAAUGCUUGACACAUGCUAAUCGUACGUUUAAUUUAUGCUUUUUGGAUAUUUUAUAUCUGAGCACCAUGAAUUAUAUUUAGUAAUGGUGUAAUAUCUUUUGCGGCUUCGCCACCGCAGAGAUGUUGAAGGUGAAUUAAAAGUGGUGUACAGGUGAGUGAAAGAUAUUCGGCCGACCUUAAAGAGAGGGAAAAAAUCCCUCAUAUAAAAAAGGGUGUAAUAACCGCUUUAAGAGGAAAGGUAUCUGCGGGAUAGGUAGUAGUUAGGGUAAUGGCCUAACUAGCCAAGAAUUCUCGGAGUCGAAGCUGAAAUGGUUGAUCGACCACAUUGGGGAUGAAAAAAUCCCAAGGCAUAUAUGUACAGCAGUGAGGAAUCUUGGUCAAUGGCCUAACGGCUGAACUGGCAACUUGGAUGAAUGGACCGGCUACCCCCUUAAAAAAGAGGUAAGAGGUAGUGCAGGAGAUCCUUUUAAGGAGUAAAGUUCUAAAUAUAAGAUUGAUAAUGACAGUCUAUAUAUUAUGUCUUGACCAAUUACGUGCCAGCAGUCGCGGUAAUACGUAUGAGACUAGUGUUAUUCAUCUUAAAUAGGUUUAAAGGGUACCUAGACGGCAAAUGUCACCUUUAAAAGGUUAUUAUUUUGCUAGAGUUUUAUGUGAAGAGGCCGUACUUGUGAGUGGAGAGUUAAAAUUCUGUGAUACCUGGGGGACGGAUAACGGCGAAGGCAGCCUCUUAUGUACAAACUGACGUUGAAGGACGAAGGCAUUGCGGCACGAAAAGGAUUAGGGACCCUAGUAGUCUUUGCAGAAAAUGAUGAAUGCCAUAGAUUAGGUUGUUACUUAGUUUAUAAAUGAAAGUGUAAGCAUUUCACCUCAAGAGUAAUGCGGCAACGCAGGAACUGAAAUCACUAGACCGUUUCUGACACCAGUAGUGAAGUAUGUUGUUUAAUUCGAUGAUCCACGAAAAAUCUUACCACAAUUUGAAUAGAAUAAAAUAAUUAUUACUAUGGUUGGCUUCGCUAGGCUGGCAACUACGUCAGCAGCCAGCCGGCGUAGUUUUAAUAUAUUUAUUCAUACAAGCGUUGCACGGCUGUUUCCAGUUAAUGUUGUGAAACUGUGGCAAAAGCCAUGGAAUUAACGUAAACCUGAGCUUUAUUUGUAAAUAUAUUAUUUUGAUAGGGCUGAUUCGUCCAUUAUAUUGGAUCUGAUAACAGGGACUAAGACAAGUCAUCAUGGCCUUGAUAUUGUGGGCUAAAGACGUGCCACAUAUUCCUAAACAAAGAGAUGCGAAAAUGCGAAUUUUAGCUAAUCUCAAAAAAUAGGAUAAAAAAGAUAUGGAUUGUAGCCUGAAAUUCGGCUGCAUGAAUAAGAAAUUGCUAGUAAUCGUGAAUCACUAUGUCACGGUGAAUAUAACCUUGGAUUGGUACUAACCACUCGUCACAUGCUGAAAGGAGUACGUGCAAUAAGUUUGCUUUCUUAUUUUAAUCCAGCGAAUAAUAGGAUUCGGGUUUUUUUAUAGGAUUCUUCGUAUGCGCGAUUCUAAUUGGUGUUAAGUCGAAAUACGGUUCGUGUAGUGGAAGUUGCACGGGAUUGAUUAACCUUUAACAAGAAAAUAUGCUGUAUA